GCGGGGCAAGUAGGAGGAGGCGCGCGGCCGGUAGGAGGAGAGAAGGGGGAGGGAGAUGGCAUGGUGGGGAAGGGAGGAAGAUGAGGAGAUCGAGGGGGAGAGGAGAUCGAGGAGGAGAGAGAAGAGAUAAGGCAGGGCUGCAGAGGAGACGGAGUCACAGACUCAAGGGGUGGGCACUAGGCAGGGGAAAGGAAACACAAAACAGCCACAUCAACGAUACGGUCCUCCAUUCCUCAACCAAUCAAGAACCAACAACAACUAGCAUUCGGGUUGUGCUUUUCUGACUGUGACCUCCAAUGGCGGGCUAAUUCAUUUUAUUUUUUAUUUUUAGUAUAAUAUAAUUGUAUUUUGGAUUAUAAUUGAAUUGCUUUAUAAGUUUAUCAAUAUGAUCUUUUUUGUGUGCAAAUUGGGCAUGAUUUUGAACCAUAUUAAUAGUACUUGCUUCACAAAAUACAAUUUUUUGCGUUAAAAAAAUGGGAAAACAUUUUUUGGAACGAAAACGUUGUAAAUUUCUUUAACAAUAUUGUUUGUCAUGAAAAGACAACACACGUCUGUGCAAAAAAUGGAUACAAUAUCAUGAAAUAUGUCAUAGAAAUGGCUGUGACUUUGGUCAUUUGGCUUGAAAGCCAUAAACAUUCAUACUCGAUAGUCCAUUUUGUGAAAGAAUUUUUUUAACAUUUGCAAAAUUUUAAGUUUACCAUUUCUCAUAGCAACU
rnacentral:lncRNA from 1 species